GUUCUUGCUUCGGCAGAACAUUUACUAAAAUUGGAACGAUACAGAGAAGAUUAGCAUGGCUGAAGAAGAAGAUUACCCUGCGCAAGGAUGACACGCACAAUCGUGAAGCGUUCCACAUUUUU
rnacentral:snRNA from 1 species